rnacentral:rRNA from 1 species
CCUACGGGAGGCAGCAGUGAGGAAUAUUGGUCAAUGGUCGGGAGACUGAACCAGCCAAGCCGCGUGAGGGAGGAAGGUACAGAGUAUCGUAAACCUCUUUUGUCAGGGAACAAAGACUUGGACGCGUCCCCGGAUGAGUGUACCUGAAGAAAAAGCAUCGGCUAACUCCGUGCCAGCAGCCGCGGUAAUACGGAGGAUGCGAGCGUUAUCCGGAUUUAUUGGGUUUAAAGGGUGCGCAGGGGGUCUGUUAAGUCAGGGGUGAAAGGCCGGGGCUCAACCCUGGGACUGCCGUUGAAACUGGCAGUCUCGAGUAGGAGAGAAGUAUGCGGAAUGCGCGGUGUAGCGGUGAAAUGCAUAGAUAUCGCGCAGAACUCCGAUUGCGAAGGCAGCAUGCCGGCUCCACACUGACGCUGAGGCACGAAAGCGUGGGUAUCGAACAGGAUUAGAUACCCGAGUAGUC